CUUUAAAUCUCAGCCCAGGAGAGCCUGUUAGUGCAUCUAUGGUUGCAGUUGUGCUCCUGCUUUGACCCUGUGGUAUUAAUGUAUUGACACCUUUCUUUUCACCCCCCCCCUCCACUUUGGACAAGAUCUCGCUCUGAAUAUGUCCAGUCCAAACCAAGCCGUCUGCAAGGCUAGUGCAUCCAAACCCGGUGAGCCAGGGAGUUUUAACAGGUUCCAGUCAGAGAGCGGCUGCAAUGCCUUGAGCUGUGCAAGAGAGAAAACAAGUGUUGCCUAAACAGUUCGGCUGCAACCGUGUGCCUGGAACAGAAGGAGCGUGAGCUGGGGAAAUAGGAAGCUUUAGGCUUCGCAGCAGAAUCUGCUGGAAUGCAACGGUGGCUCUAUCACCGGACACGCUGCUCUUCAGAAAGGUGGGGAACUAAAGUCAGUGUAAACUAAGAGCUUGUCUGCACGAGCGGGGGGGGCAAGGUCUAGGGUGCACUUGUGUGUUGUGCACUAACUGGCCCAUAAGGACCUGCUGGCAUGCACGGAGAGUUCCCUAGUGUGCAUCACUGCAGCACGCACAGGCCUGUUAGUGCACAACACACUGGAAUGUGUCCCACUCCAGUGCAGACUAAUGCACCAUGCAGAUGAGUUCUGAGCCUUAAGGCUCCUUGUACAUCAUUAGUCUGACAGUGCAAGCGCUGGAGCUAACGACGGGGGUACGAGGCCCUAAGGCAGUUUGCAGCAUCCGGCUUGGAGAUUUGUUCCAGAGCCACCCUUGCAAAUAGCUGGAGAUUUCUGCAUGCUCCUCUUCCUACUUCUCAGCCACUAGUCAGAAGAACCGCAACUUGCCCUGCUACACUAGUGUUUGUGUCCAUUCCGAGAUUGCUUCUCCAGGUUGGCACCCUGCAGCCCUGUCCACACUGGGCAGGGCCCUGUAACGCCUGAGGUGUCUGAUCAUACAGGGAGGAGCUGUGCCUCCCUGCCAGGCCUAAGGACAAGAGCCAAUACCUUGUAAAUGGAGCCCUUAUUUCCACCACUUUCCAGGACAUUUCCCAAGCUGGAUGUGAUUACCGUGCAGAACACACCUACGUCUACUUUGAAAUAACCCUGGUUUUGUACCUUCCCCGCCCAACUAGGAGGCGGAGGAGUUUGCAAAGAGUGAAAGCUUAAUCUACAUGGAAACGUUGGCAAAAUCCAACCACCAAGUGACCGAGGUGCUUAUGGCCAUAGCUCCCGAGUUAUUGAAAUAGGAACAACAGAAGGAACCAGCCCCUCAGCCUCAGCCCUGGAAGAAGUCACGCGUGGACCUGCGAGAGCCAAGCAAUCACACUAAGAAGUGUUGCAUGAACUAAAGGAAAUGGCAGACUGACCUAAGUGUUCGAUUGAAGAACUGUACGAGAGGAGAUAUUGCCCAAUGCAAGGAACCUGAAAAGCGCUGCAAGUCUCCUCUCGCUUGUGUUUGCUCAGUGUUAUCAUUAUACAAGAAUACAGUGCAAAAUAGCUUCACAAAUAAAAACAGCAAAAAGGA